ACAUGCCUACAACAUAGCAUUAAUGCACUAGAUCCCAUUAGAACUCCACAGUUAAGCGCACUCAGGAUAGAGUAGUACUACGAUGGGUGACCUCUUGGGAAGUCCUAGUGUUUUACAUGCC
rnacentral:rRNA from 1 species